ACUAUCUGUCAUCCUCAUUCUAGCUUAAAAUGCUUCUGUGGCCUCCCGUGGACCUGAGGAUGAGGACUAACUCUGCUCUGCAUGCAGGCCCUCCUGAGUCAGGCCUUCUUCUCCAGGCUGGUCGCCCACAGUCAUUCUGCCCUCCAGCCAUCCCAAGCCAGAAGGCCUCCUUCUCAGAACUACUGAUUUCACACUUCCCUGUGUUGUACUUUCCCCACCACCCCGACUAGGCAUGCUGCUCCCUCUAUCCUUGCAAACAGAACAUGGCUGUGCAGUCGGCGAGGACAUCCUUCCAGGCUUCCUGACCACAGGCAGAUGAGGUGACUGGAGCUGGGAGAGGCGACUUCUAUAAGGUCA
rnacentral:lncRNA from 10 species